UCAUGCCUUUUGUAUUCGGAUGACGCGUCAGAGAAAAGAAAACUUGCGCAAUUGGUUGAACUAGGACGUUGUUUUAUAUUGCACCAACAACGAAGUAGUCACUACUCGAGCACAAGAGCAGUGAAUCACGUAGAAGUUUUAAUCCAACGUUAAUUUUUAAACAAUUAGUGAAGGUUGUUCGCUUGAACUCCUGCAAAAAUGGGUGUUCAUGUGCUGAUAGAGUACUGUAAGUCUUGAGGUGGACAGAGUAGGAUGGAAAAACUUUCUGAGCAGAUCCUCGCACACUUUCCUGAAGCUGAAAUAAAAUCUAUGGAGAGUCCCACUAGAGGUGCCUUUGAAGUCUCUAUCAAUAGCGUCGUGGUUCAUUCACGGAUCAAAUCUGGCUCAUACCCAAACGCUGAUGAGAUUACAAAAUAUAUGCGAGAUGCUCAGAACAGAAUACCAUUCAAAGCAGCUCCUUAAACCUAUUUGGGCUGCUCUACUCUAUAUCUGCUGCAAUUAUGUUACACUUUGAAUUCUGAUAUUAAAGUCACUUCUCUCUUUCUAAUUAAUAUAUGUUAAAGGCCUUGGCUAUCUUACUUCUUUUCUAAAUCCUCGUGGUUCAGACAUAUAGAUAUGGACUGGUUCACAUCCCAGUAUCAUAAUAAGUUGUACAACCUGUCUCAUUAUGGCGAAGAUAUUUAUCCAGUAGAUUUUGCUACCCUUACAUUUUCACUCAAGCAAUAUUUCUCUAAUCAGUUAGAACAACAAAAACAACAAGGCUGUUCAACUGACUGAAAGAGUUCACCUUGUUCAUUGGUGAGAUAUUUUAUGAGGCUUGCCUAAUAAUGUAUGUUGUAGGUGGUAGCUACAAUUUCUGGUUAAUGCUGAGCAAUCUAAUGUGAUAUUGAUGUUUAUGUUUGGUGUAAAAGGCCAUCCUUAAUUCCAUGUGACCUCAAAUAUAUCUACUGUAGUUGACUAUAUAAGGAGAUACAUGGGGAAUUUUGAAAGCUUCCAUUCAUUUGCUUCUUCAUAUAUUGCUCCUUGUUGCUCAGCAUAAAAAUCUAUCAUUUCAAUUAAUUGAGUGAUCUAAUUACUGUCUGAUGAAGUGCUAUUUGGCUUAACCAUGUGGAUUUCUUUUCUAUAUUCUCUUUCUUUUCCUUUCCCCACUUCCUUGUCCCCUAUUUCCUAUCCAUGUUAUCCCUUCUAUUUUUUUUUCACUUUCCUACUUUCUCUCUCAUCUCCAUUCUCUGAAUUUCUCUUUUUCUUUACAUCCUUUUGCUCACUUCAGUCUCUCACUUUCUAUCUUUUUUUCCCCAUCUAUCUACUUCAUUCACCCAAUUUCUGGAUCUUCUUUUAUUUCUCUCUCUUUCUCUUAGUUUUUUUCUUUUCUUGCUUUCUUUCUGAUAUUCAUUUUAAAUAUCUAUGGUAUUUUAUAUAUUUCUAUAUUUGUUCCUCUAUUUUUUUUCUCUCAUCUAUUUUCAUCAAUAUUCCUCCUCCUAUUCCUUAAUUUUCUAUUCCCUCUGUUUUCCCCCUCAUUCUGUAUAUCUUUCACUUUCUCUCUUCCCUCAAUUGCCAACCCUCCUCACAAUCUCCAUCUCUGUACUUUGCUAUGUUACCUAAUUCCUAUCUAUUCCUAUUUCUGUCUCUCAUAGAUUCUUCAGCACUAAUAAUUUCCUAAUAUAUCACUCAUAAAUUUUUUGACCAGCCACAAAAGUUGAUAGUCAAGGUCGAAUUCUAAAAUUAUCCUGUCUUUCUUUUUUCAGGAUAACAAUUGUUAUCCUGAAAAUACUCUGUAAUGAUUCUUUUAAAAUUUUCAUUUGACUUUCUUACUGGUUAUUUUCUGGCUAUGAAAACACUGGUUUAAACAUGUCAACCAGAGUUGGAUAAAUUCUGAUGAAUAACCAGUAAAAAUCUUGACCGAAAAUUGUUUGCUUGAAUAUUAAAUCUUAAAAAUGCUA
rnacentral:lncRNA from 1 species